AUUGAACGCUGGCGGCAGGCUUAACACAUGCAAGUCGAGCGCGCGGCGGACGGGUGAGUCGUGUAUGGGCCCCUGCCUGAUGGAGGGGGAUCACUUCUGGAAACUGUAGCUACUACCGCAUACCAUCAGAUGUGCCCAGGUGGGCUUCGCUAGUAGGUGGGGUAAUGGCUCACCUAGGCGACGAUCCCUAGCUGGUCUGAGAGGAUGACCAGCCACACUGGAACGGAGACACGGUCCAGACUCCUACGGGAGGCAGCAGUGGGGAAUAUUGGACAAUGGGCGCAAGCCGGAUGCAGCCAUGCCGCGUGGGUGAAGAAGGCUUUCGGGUUGUAAAGCACUUUCAGCGAGGAGGCGUUACUCGAAGAAGAAGCACCGGCUAACUCCGUGCCAGCAGCCGCGGUAAUAC
rnacentral:rRNA from 1 species